CUAAAUGUUUUAAAAAGUGCAAGUGAGUCCAAAUAAUUAUUAAAAGACAUAAUAGUACAAAACGUCCCUACAUCUGGCAUGUAGUGUGCAAAACGUCCCUACAUUUCAAAUUGAUGAAAAUGACGUUUUUUGCAAUGAAACAUGAAAAUAGGGAUGAAAAUAUUAAAAAAAAAAUAAAAAUUGAAACAUAUGGACGUUUUCCGCAAUAAGUGUCAAAUGUAUGGAUGUUUUGUACUAUUAGACCUUAUUAAAAUUGAAACCAAUGCCAAACCGGUGAACCUCCAUACCAUUUACUCCGGCCACACCACCUGUUCUGGAGAGAUCCAUGUCAUUUCCAACACACCAAUUGACUAUACUCAUCAGGACGCUUCUCUUCAUGGUCUUUUCUUCUCCAAUGGGACUACCACCUUAGAAAUGAAAAAACUCCGACGACAUGGAGGUUUGGGCGAUGAUUGGUAGGAGUUUUUUCAUUUCUAAGGUGGCAGUCCCAUUUGGAGAAGAAGAGACCAUAAAAAGAAGUGCCCUGAUGAGUAUUGUCGAAUGGUGUGUUGGAAAUGACAUGGAUCUCUUCUAAACAGGUUGUGCCGCCGGAGUUUGGGUGAUGGUCUUUUGGAAAUGGUAUGGUGGUUCACCGGUUUGGCAAUGGUUUCAGUUUUAAUAAGGUCUAAUAGCACAAAACAUCCCUACAUUUGAUAUUUUUUGCGGAAAACGUCCCUACCUUUGACACUUCUUGCGAAAAACAUCCAUAUGUUUCAAUUUUUUUUUGCAUUUUCAUCUCUAUUUUCAC
rnacentral:lncRNA from 1 species